rnacentral:rRNA from 1 species
UACGUAGGUGGCAAGCGUUGUCCGGAUUUACUGGGCGUAAAGAGCGUGCAGGCGGUCGUUCAAGUCGCGUGUGAAAGCCCCCGGCUCAACUGGGGAGGGUCACGCGAUACUGACCGACUCGAAGGCAGGAGAGGGAAGUGGAAUUCCCGGUGUAGUGGUGAAAUGCGUAGAUAUCGGGAGGAACACCAGUGGCGAAGGCGACUUCCUGGCCUGUUCUUGACGCUGAGGCGCGAAAGCUAGGGGAGCAAACGGG